UGCACUGUAUGGUAUCUGCAGCCAGCUGUCUUCCCCCAAGCUGGCCUGUUCAUUACACAGUGCGACAGAAACUCGGCAUCUGGCAUCGUUGGUCUCCAUGGCUCCCGGUGCCUGGGGGUCCUGGUAUUUGUGCUGAGACAAGC